rnacentral:rRNA from 1 species
UACGUAGGGGGCAAGCGUUGUCCGGAAUUAUUGGGCGUAAAGAGCGCGUAGGCGGUCCGAUAAGUCGGCUGUGAAAGUCAGGGGCUCAACCCUUGAAAGCCGGCCGAUACUGUCGGACUAGAGUCCGGAAGAGGCAAGUGGAAUUCCCGGUGUAGCGGUGAAAUGCGCAGAUAUCGGGAGGAACACCAAUGGCGAAGGCAGCUUGCUGGGACGGUACUGACGCUGAGGCGCGAAAAGCGUGGGGGAGCAAACAGG